rnacentral:rRNA from 1 species
GCAGCAGGGUCCUACGGGAGGCAGCAGUGGGGAAUUUUUUGCAAUGGGGGCAACCCUGACCAAGCAACGCCGCGUGGAGGAUGAAGAUCUUUGGGUGGUAAAAUCCUUUUGUACGGGAAGAAAGGCGUUCGGGUGAACAAUCCGGAGGAGUGACGGUACCGAGUAGAGGAAGCCCCGGCUAACUCUGUGCCAGCAGCCGCGGUAAUACGGGGGGGGCAAGCGUUGUUCGGAAUUACUGGGCGUAAAGGGCGUGUAGGCGGCCAACUAAGUCGGACGUGAAAUCCCUCGGCUCAACCGGGGAACUGCAUUCGAAACUGGAUGGCUUGAGUUCGGGAGAGGGAUGUGGAAUUCCAGGUGUAGCGGUGAAAUGCGUAGAUAUCUGGAGGAACACCGGUGGCGAAGGCGGCUUCCUGGACCGACACUGACGCUGAGGCGCGAAAGCCAGGGGAGCAAACGGGAUUAGAUACCCCGGUAGUCCUAGCCGUAAACGGAGGACUACCUAAGGG